UACGUAGGGACCGAGCGUUGUCCGGAAUCAUUGGGCGUAAAGAGCGUGUAGGCGGCCAAUUAAGUCCUGCGUGAAAUCUCGGGGCUCAACCCCGAGCGGUCGUGGGAAACUGGUUGGCUAGAGUGCGGGAGAGGAGAGUGGAAUUCCUGGUGUAGCGGUGAAAUGCGCAGAUAUCAGGAAGAACACCGGUGGCGAAGGCGGCCUUCUGGACCAAUACUGACGCUCAUGCACGAAAGCGUGGGGAGCAAACAGG
rnacentral:rRNA from 1 species